GUGAUUGUGGCUCAGUGGUAGAGCAUUUACCUAGCAUGUGUGAGGCACUGGGUUUGAUUUUCAGCACCACAUAUAAAUAAAUGAAUAAAAUAAAGGUUCGUCAACAUCUAAAAAAAACUUUAAAAUUUUCUAUCUAAUUUUAUAAGGAUUUAAAUUAUAGUCUUUAUCACUUCUGUGCUUAUUAAAAGUGCAAUUUAAAAAUGUCCCUUGGGUUCAAACCCAGUACCAAAAACG
rnacentral:tRNA from 1 species